rnacentral:rRNA from 1 species
GACGAACGCUGGCGGCGUGCCUAAUACAUGCAAGUAGGACGCAGUUGCGAACGGGUGAGUAACGCGUAGGUAACUACCUAUUAGAGGGGGAUAACUAUUGGAAACGAUAGCUAAUACCGCAUACUAGUAGAUGGACCUGCGUUGUAUUAGCUAGUAGGUAGGGUAAUGGCCUACCUAGGCAACGAUACAUAGCAGACCUGGGAGGGUGAUCGGCCACACUGGGACGUGGACACGGCCCAGACUCCUACUGGCGCCAGCAGUGGGGAAUCUGCGGCAAUGGGGGGAAACCUGAACGAGCAACGCCGCGUGAGUGAAGAAGGUUUUCGGAGCGUAAAGCUCUGUUGUUAAGGAAGCGGUACUUAACCAGAAAGGGACGGCUAACUACGUGCCAUCAGCCGCGGUAAUUC